CAUCCUUAACAAGUCAGCCUAUGUGGUUGUGUUGGUUAGACUGUCAAUGACAGCACACCAAAGCUGAUCACUCAAGUGUUUAAUGGGAUAGAGGGCAGCUCUAAAAACAGGUUAUUCCUUUACCUCCACUUUAACAUUCUUGCUAAAUGAUAAAUAAAAACCCAGCAAAGCCCAACAAGAGCCUUAGAAAAGGAUAAAGUGAUUGAUAAGCUACAACUACAUGAAAGAAAUGUCAGAAAAUAUUGAACAGUAGAAAAGUCUUGAAGGGCCUGACGAACAGCGUUGCAUUCAGCCACAAUGCGUUCACGGCGGUCAUCGCGUGUGCAUGAUGAGUCAGCCAUUAGUGC